rnacentral:rRNA from 1 species
UUAAGCGACUAAGCGUACACGGUGGAUGCCCUGGCAGUCAGAGGCGAUGAAGGACGUGCUAAUCUGCGAUAAGCGUCGGUAAGGUGAUAUGAACCGUUAUAACCGGCGAUUUCCGAAUGGGGAAACCCAGUGUGUUUCGACACACUAUCAUUAACUGAAUCCAUAGGUUAAUGAGGCGAACCGGGGGAACUGAAACAUCUAAGUACCCCGAGGAAAAGAAAUCAACCGAGAUUCCCCCAGUAGCGGCGAGCGAACGGGGAGCAGCCCAGAGCCUGAAUCAGUGUGUGUGUUAGUGGAAGCGUCUGGAAAGGCGCGCGAUACAGGGUGACAGCCCCGUACACAAAAAUGCACAUGCUGUGAGCUCGAUGAGUAGGGCGGGACACGUGGUAUCCUGUCUGAAUAUGGGGGGGACCAUCCUCCAAGGCUAAAUACUCCUGACUGACCGAUAGUGAACCAGUACCGUGAGGGAAAGGCGAAAAGAACCCCGGCGAGGGGAGUGAGAAAGAACCUGAAACCGUGUACGUACAAGCAGUGGGAGCACAGAGCAAUCUGUGUGACUGCGUACCUUUUGUAUAAUGGGUCAGCGACUUAUAUUCUGUAGCAAGGUUAACCGAAUAGGGGAGCCGAAGGGAAACCGAGUCUUAACUGGGCGUUAAGUUGCAGGGUAUAGACCCGAAACCCGGUGAUCUAGCCAUGGGCAGGUUGAAGGUUGGGUAACACUAACUGGAGGACCGAACCGACUAAUGUUGAAAAAUUAGCGGAUGACUUGUGGCUGGGGGUGAGAGGCCAAUCAAACCGGGAGAUAGCUGGUUCUCCCCGAAAGCUAUUUAGGUAGCGCCUCGUGAAUUCAUCUCCGGGGGUAGAGCACUGUUUCGGCAAGGGGGUCAUCCCGACUUACCAACCCGAUGCAAACUGCGAAUACCGGAGAAUGUUAUCACGGGAGACACACGGCGGGUGCUAACGUCCGUCGUGAAGAGGGAAACAACCCAGACCGCCAGCUAAGGUCCCAAAGUCAUGGUUAAGUGGGAAACGAUGUGGGAAGGCCCAGACAGCCAGGAUGUUGGCUUAGAAGCAGCCAUCAUUUAAAGAAAGCGUAAUAGCUCACUGGUCGAGUCGGCCUGCGCGGAAGAUGUAACGGGGCUAAACCAUGCACCGAAGCUGCGGCAGCGACGCUUAUGCGUUGUUGGGUAGGGGAGCGUUCUGUAAGCCUGCGAAGGUGUGCUGUGAGGCAUGCUGGAGGUAUCAGAAGUGCGAAUGCUGACAUAAGUAACGAUAAAGCGGGUGAAAAGCCCGCUCGCCGGAAGACCAAGGGUUCCUGUCCAACGUUAAUCGGGGCAGGGUGAGUCGACCCCUAAGGCGAGGCCGAAAGGCGUAGUCGAUGGGAAACAGGUUAAUAUUCCUGUACUUGGUGUUACUGCGAAGGGGGGACGGAGAAGGCUAUGUUGGCCGGGCGACGGUUGUCCCGGUUUAAGCGUGUAGGCUGGUUUUCCAGGCAAAUCCGGAAAAUCAAGGCUGAGGCGUGAUGACGAGGCACUACGGUGCUGAAGCAACAAAUGCCCUGCUUCCAGGAAAAGCCUCUAAGCAUCAGGUAACAUCAAAUCGUACCCCAAACCGACACAGGUGGUCAGGUAGAGAAUACCAAGGCGCUUGAGAGAACUCGGGUGAAGGAACUAGGCAAAAUGGUGCCGUAACUUCGGGAGAAGGCACGCUGAUAUGUAGGUGAAGUCCCUCGCGGAUGGAGCUGAAAUCAGUCGAAGAUACCAGCUGGCUGCAACUGUUUAUUAAAAACACAGCACUGUGCAAACACGAAAGUGGACGUAUACGGUGUGACGCCUGCCCGGUGCCGGAAGGUUAAUUGAUGGGGUUAGCGCAAGCGAAGCUCUUGAUCGAAGCCCCGGUAAACGGCGGCCGUAACUAUAACGGUCCUAAGGUAGCGAAAUUCCUUGUCGGGUAAGUUCCGACCUGCACGAAUGGCGUAAUGAUGGCCAGGCUGUCUCCACCCGAGACUCAGUGAAAUUGAACUCGCUGUGAAGAUGCAGUGUACCCGCGGCAAGACGGAAAGACCCCGUGAACCUUUACUAUAGCUUGACACUGAACAUUGAGCCUUGAUGUGUAGGAUAGGUGGGAGGCUUUGAAGUGUGGACGCCAGUCUGCAUGGAGCCGACCUUGAAAUACCACCCUUUAAUGUUUGAUGUUCUAACGUGGACCCGUAAUCCGGGUUGCGGACAGUGUCUGGUGGGUAGUUUGACUGGGGCGGUCUCCUCCUAAAGAGUAACGGAGGAGCACGAAGGUUGGCUAAUCCUGGUCGGACAUCAGGAGGUUAGUGCAAUGGCAUAAGCCAGCUUGACUGCGAGCGUGACGGCGCGAGCAGGUGCGAAAGCAGGUCAUAGUGAUCCGGUGGUUCUGAAUGGAAGGGCCAUCGCUCAACGGAUAAAAGGUACUCCGGGGAUAACAGGCUGAUACCGCCCAAGAGUUCAUAUCGACGGCGGUGUUUGGCACCUCGAUGUCGGCUCAUCACAUCCUGGGGCUGAAGUAGGUCCCAAGGGUAUGGCUGUUCGCCAUUUAAAGUGGUACGCGAGCUGGGUUUAGAACGUCGUGAGACAGUUCGGUCCCUAUCUGCCGUGGGCGCUGGAGAAUUGAGGGGGGCUGCUCCUAGUACGAGAGGACCGGAGUGGACGCAUCACUGGUGUUCGGGUUGUCAUGCCAAUGGCACUGCCCGGUAGCUAAAUGCGGAAGAGAUAAGUGCUGAAAGCAUCUAAGCACGAAACUUGCCCCGAGAUGAGUUCUCCCUGACUCCUUGAGAGUCCUGAAGGAACGUUGAAGACGACGACGUUGAUAGGCCGGGUGUGUAAGCGCAGCGAUGCGUUGAGCUAACCGGUACUAAUGAACCGUGAGGCUUAACCUU